AACGAACGCUGGCGGCAUGCCUAACACAUGCAAGUCGAACGAGACCUUCGGGUCUAGUGGCGCAAGGGUGCGUAACGCGUGGGAACCUGCCCUUAGGUUCGGAAUAACUCCCCGAAAGGGGUGCUAAUACCGGAUAAUGUCUUCGGACCAAAGAUUUAUCGCCUUUGGAUGGGCCCGCGUUGGAUCAGCUAGUUGGUAGGGUAAAAGCCUACCAAGGCGACGAUCCAUAGCUGGUCUGAGAGGAUGAUCAGCCACACUGGGACUGAGACACGGCCCAGACUCCUACGGGAGGCAGCAGUGGGGAAUAUUGGACAAUGGGCGAAAGCCUGAUCCAGCAAUGCCGCGUGAGUGAUGAAGGCCUUAGGGUUGUAAAGCUCUUUUACCCGGGAUGAUAAUGACAGUACCGGGAGAAUAAGCUCCGGCUAACUCCGUG
rnacentral:rRNA from 1 species